GUGCGGAGUGAUGUAGUUGCCACUUAGGGAAUCCUGGAUCCUGUCUCCCGUAAUCCUUUAGCAAUGGCCUUGGCUAGCGCCGCUCUCUCGGCAGAAGCCAGGUACUUCUGGCGCAGGAAGCGCCGCUCGAGCUCCAGCACCUGUGCCCGGGAAAAGGAUGUGCGCGGCUUCUUUCGCUUAGGCGGCGUCCGGUUCUGUAGUAUUCUUUGACCGAAGGAGAAAAUGAAUCCCAGAGGCAGGGGAAGAAGACAAACGAAAAACGCUGGAAUCAACUGCUCUUCCCCAGGAUCGUGUUCUGACCCGUAGGGCAGACCCGGUGGAGAAGAGGGUGGUGAGGCUCAGAUUACACCAAGUUCCCAUAUGCCCAUAGCCCCCGGCGGUUACGGGUAUUUUGGAACUCCUAACUGCACCCUUUCCCUAAGAUUUCCCCCAUCUCUAUGUAUAUAGUCCUGGUGGCUGCUUUCAAAUUACUCUGCGUCUCUAAAGCAUUUUUGGAUUCCUUCUAAUUAUCUUGGCCUAGGUCCUGAGAUUAAAGAAAAGUGAAGGCAGGUUUAGUGGGAGUUGGGGAGGGGUGGAGAUUAGAAGGUUAAUAAAAUGUAGAUAUCCAGCCGGGAGGAAUUGAGACCUCAAGAAUGAUAAUCUGGGGAUAGAGAUGAGGGAUACAGGGAGGCAGGUUCUAGUCAGGAGGUCUAGGGAAAGCUAAUGUUUGGGGGGGCAAGAAAAGAUAUCUUUAGAUGUGUCCUAAAAUUAAUUGUCCAGAAAGUGUGGGGGAGUUAAAUUUGGGAGGAAAGAAUGGAUUAAGGGUGGGAUAUGUGGGGAAAGUGGUCUAGUGGUAUAGGAUUUUAGGAUUAGAUGGGGGAGGGGAGUGGGGAUUCAGGAAUGAAAAUCGAAUGGCCAAAUUGGAGGAAAGAAUUCCUCACGAAUUUCCUAGGAAAUUAGAGUAUUUAGUAUUGGAGAAAUAGGGAGGACAACAGAAUUUUAUAGAAAUACUCAUCUUGGAAAGAGGGGUUUUUAUUGGGUUAUCCUGGAUUUGGAGAUUUAAAAAAGAAGUGUGUGCCCAGGGGUGAUGUUUCCAGAGCCCAGGAAUACUAAUGGGGGAGGGGAGUCAAGGAUUUCCCAAGGAAAUCCUGCAAUUGAGAAAAGGUAGGGAGGCAGUGGGUUUACACAUAAAAGUGAAAUUGGGAUACUGGAGGCUUGGAAAUGUUAGUUUGGGCAGGUCAAUUUGUGCUGUGAGGGUUUUGCUGAUCCAAUACUGGGGGAGACAGGAGAGGGGAGAGAGAGAAAGAGAGUUUGCUGAGAUGGUUCCUGAGGCCGUCCUAGAUUGGUGAGGAAGGUUGGAUUAGGAAAUUGAGGAUUCAAUACUAAAGAAGAGUUUCAAAGUAUCUAGUGGUGGGGCUGAUGCACUAGUGGUGGGGAAGGAAGCUUGAGUGAAGCAGGAUGGGGCUGAAGGUGAAGAAAGCCUGCCCCACCCCACCCCCUCACCUGUGAGCCGGUCCUUGGCAAAACGGCGGCUGCUGUCCAUCCAGGGGAAGGUAAGGCCUGAUAGGCCGCUUCCAGCGCCUAGC